GAUGAACGCUGGCGGCGUGCAUAACACAUUCAAGUCGAACGGUGACGAGGACUUCGGUCCUCUGAUCAGUGGCGGACGGGUGAGUAACGCGUGAGCAACCUGCCCUAUAUUGCGGGAUAACAACCGGAAACAGUUGCUAAUACCGCAUGACGUAUUCGGAUCGCAUGUUCUGAAUACCAAAGAAUUUUGAUAUAGGAUGGGCUCGCGUCCGAUUAGGCAGUUGGUGGGGUAACGGCCCACCAAACCGACGAUCGGUAGCCGAACUGAGAGGUUGAACGGCCACAUUGGGACUGAGACACGGCCCAGACUCCUACGGGAGGCAGCAGUGGGGAAUAUUGCACAAUGGGCGCAAGCCUGAUGCAGCAACGCCGCGUGAGGGGAAGAC
rnacentral:rRNA from 1 species